rnacentral:rRNA from 1 species
AUUGAACGCUGGCGGCAGGCCUAACACAUGCCAGUCGAGCGGAUGAAGGGAGCUUGCUCCUGGAUUCAGCGGCGGGCGGGUGAGUAAUGCCUAGGAAUCUGCCUGGUAGUGUGGGAUAACGUCCGGAAACGGGCGCUAAUACCGCAUACGUCCUGAGGGAGAAAGUGGGGGAUCUUCGGACCUCACGCUAUCAGAUGAGCCUAGGUCGGAUUAGCUAGUUGGUGGGGUAAAGGCCUACCAAGGCGACGAUCCGUAACUGGUCUGAGAGGAUGAUCAGUCACACUGGAACUGAGACACGGUCCAGACUCCUACGGGAGGCAGCAGUGGGGAAUAUUGGACAAUGGGCGAAAGCCUGAUCCAGCCAUGCCGCGUGUGUGAAGAAGGUCUUCGGAUUGUAAAGCACUUUAAGUUGGGAGGAAGGGCAGUAAGUUAAUACCUUGCUGUUUUGACGUUACCAACAGAAUAAGCACCGGCUAACUUCGUG